rnacentral:rRNA from 1 species
AGUGAACGCUGGCGGUAGGCCUAACACAUGCAAGUCGAACGGCAGCACAGUAAGAGCUUGCUCUUACGGGUGGCGAGUGGCGGACGGGUGAGGAAUACAUCGGAAUCUACUUUUUCGUGGGGGAUAACGUAGGGAAACUUACGCUAAUACCGCAUACGACCUACGGUUGAAAGCAGGGGAUCUUCGGACCUUGCGCGAUUGAAUGAGCCGAUGUCGGAUUAGCUAGUUGGCUGGGUAAAGGCCCACCAAGGCGCCGAUCCGUAGCUGGUCUGAGAGGAGGAUAGGCCACACGGGAACUGAGACACGGUCCAGACUCCUACGGGAGGGAGCAGUGGGGAAUAUUGGACAAUGGGGGCAAGCAUGAUCCAGCCAGACCGCGUGGGUGAAGAAGGCCUUCGGGUUGUAAAGCCCUUUUGUUGGGAAAGAAAAGCAGCAGGUUAAUACCCCGCUGUUCUGACGGUACCCAAAGAAUAAGCACCGGCUAACUUCGUG